GACGAACGCUGGCGGCGUGCCUAAUACAUGCAAGUCGAACGCAGUGGGGACGGGUGAGUAACACGUGGGUAACCUCCCAUCAGAGGGGAUAACACUUGGAAACAGGUGCUAAACCGAGACUGAUGGAUGGAACCGCGGUUCAUUAGCUAGGUGUUGAGGUAACGGCUCAACAAGGCCACGAUGCAUAGCCGGCCCUCGCGUGGUAUCCGUCACACUGUGACUGAGACUCGCCCCAUACUCCGACGUGAGGCAGCAGUAGGGAAUCUUCGGCAAUGGACGAAAGGCUGACCGAGCAACGCCGCGUGAGUGAAGAAGGUUUUCGGAUCGUAAAACUCUUUUGUUAGAGAAGCGGUAUCUAACCAGAAAGCCACGGCUAACUCCGUGCCAGCAGCCGCGGUAAUUC
rnacentral:rRNA from 1 species